rnacentral:rRNA from 1 species
AUUGAACGCUGGCGGCAUGCUUUACACAUGCAAGUCGAACGGCAGCGCGGGCUUCGGCCUGGCGGCGAGUGGCGAACGGGUGAGUAAUGCAUCGGAACGUGCCCAGUAGUGGGGGAUAGCCCGGCGAAAGCCGGAUUAAUACCGCAUACGACAUGAGGGUGAAAGCGGGGGACCGAAAGGCCUCGCGCUAUUGGAGCGGCCGAUGUCGGAUUAGCUAGUUGGUGGGGUAAAGGCUUACCAAGGCGACGAUCCGUAGCUGGUCUGAGAGGACGACCAGCCACACUGGGACUGAGACACGGCCCAGACUCCUACGGGAGGCAGCAGUGGGGAAUUUUGGACAAUGGGGGCAACCCUGAUCCAGCCAUGCCGCGUGCGGGAAGAAGGCCUUCGGGUUGUAAACCGCUUUUGUUCGGGAAGAAAUCCUCUGGGCUAAUACCCCGGGGGGAUGACGGUACCGGAAGAAUAAGCACCGGCUAACUACGUG